AACAAAGAGAGCAGUAGGGAGACAAAGAAUAUGAUACCUGGGUUUCUAGAGAACAAGGGAAACAAUCCUAGAACCAAAGGUUUAUGGCAGGUCCAAUGUAAAAAUUGCGAAGCAUUUGGUCAUCGAUCCAACUCAUCAAAAUGCCCUCUGAAUGGAACUAAGAAGAGGAAAAGUCGUGCCAAGAAAGGGAAUGUGGGAAGGCCACCUGGUUCUAGCAAGAGACGGAAAGGAGAUGCACAGGAAGGCCCUGCACAGGAAAUCCCUAUAAACAGAAGUCCUGGUCCUGUGACAAGGAGAGAUUCUACAAUUUUCCUUCUCUGCAAGCUAUUUCUAAUUUUUUUUAGCCAACUUGACAAUUGUUUAUUGUUUUAGCCAAAUGGCAUUAAGUCCUACUGUGAACUAAAGUCCUGCUGUGAACAAAAGUCCUGGUGUGAGCAAAAGUCCUGGUCUUGUCACUAGAAGGCAAUUGGCAUUAAGCAUGGAAUUAGAGGCCUCUAAUCCUGUUGCUGUCGCCCCUCCUCUUGAUCUGCACACUACUCCUAUGAGAGUAGCAAGGAAGAAGCAGGCAGUGAAAAAGAUUACUCCCAGGAAGGCAAAAAAAAAAUAAAAAAAUAAAUACCAUACUGCACUUGUGGUCAUGUACUUUGAUUGGUUUUGUAUGGCAUGUAUGGCACUUUUGUGUUUCGGAUGGCACUUGACAUUUUGAACUUUGCUUACG